CUAAGGCAGCAUUUGCUUUCUCUGAAUUAAGAAUGGGAAUAAUAUGAGGCAUUGA
rnacentral:sRNA from 13 species